rnacentral:tRNA from 1 species
GGAGAGGUUCCCGAGUGGCUAAAGGGGGCAGACUGUAAAUCUGCUGGCUACGCCUACGUUGGUUCGAAUCCAACCCUCUCCACCA